rnacentral:rRNA from 1 species
AAUCAACGCUGGCGGCGUGCCUAAUACAUGCAAGUCGAACGCGAAAGUGGAGCAAUCCAUGAGUAGAGUGGCAAACGGGUGAGUAACGCGUGGGUGACCUGCCUUCGAGUGGGGGAUAACGUUUCGAAAGGGACGCUAAUACCGCAUGAUAUCCCGCCUUUCAACAGGUGGAGAUCAAAGCCGGGGAUCGCAAGACCUGGCGCUUGAAGAGGGGCCCGCGUCCGAUAGCUAGUUGGUGGGGUAACGGCUCACCAAGGCAACGAUCGGUAGCCGGCCUGAGAGGGCGGACGGCCACACUGGGACUGAGACACGGCCCAGACUCCUACGGGAGGCAGCAGUAGGGAAUUGUUCGCAAUGGGCGCAAGCCUGACGACGCAACGCCGCGUGGAGGAUGAAGACC